rnacentral:rRNA from 1 species
UUGGGCGUACGAGUGAGUAACGCGUGGGUAAUCUACCCCUGAAUCUGAAAUAACAUUGCGAAAGCGAUGCUAAUACCGGAUAAUAUCAAAAAAUCCUUGGCUUUUUUGAUCAAAGAGGGUCUCUACAUGUAAGCUUUUGUUUAGGGAUGAGCCCGCGUACCAUUAGCUUGUUGGUAGGGUAACGGCCUACCAAGGCUACGAUGGUUAGCUGGUCUGAGAGGAUGAUCAGCCACACUGGAACUGACACACGGUCCAGACUCCUACGGGAGGCAGCAGUGGGGAAUUUUGCGCAAUGGGGGAAACCCUGACGCAGCAACGCCGCGUGAGUGAUGAAGGCUUUCGGGUCGUAAAGCUCUGUCAAGUGGGAAGAACCGGAAAAAUAUUAAAAUGUUUUUCUCUGACGGUACCACUGAAGGAAGCACCGGCUAACUCCGUGCCAGCAGCCGCGGUAAUACGGGGGGUGCAAGCGUUAUUCGGAAUUAUUGGGCGUAAAGAGCGCGUAGGCGGUUUUUUAAGUCAGAUGUGAAAGCCCGGGGCUUAACCCCGGAAGUGCAUUUGAAACUAAAGAACUUGAGUAUGGGAGAGGGAAGUGGAAUUCCUGGUGUAGCGGUGAAAUGCGUAGAUAUCAGGAGGAACACCGGUGGCGAAGGCGACUUCCUGGACCAAUACUGACGCUGAGGCGCGAAGGCGUGGGGAGCAAACAGGAUUAGAUACCCUGGUAGUCCACGCAGUAAACUGUGAACACUAGGUGUAGCGGGUAUUGACCCCUGCUGUGCCGCAGCUAACGCAUUAAGUGUUCCGCCUGGGGAGUACGAUCGCAAGGUUAAAACUCAAAGGAAUUGACGGGGGCCCGCACAAGCGGUGGAGCAUGUGGUUUAAUUCGACGCAACGCGAAGAACCUUACCUGGAUUUGACAUCCCGGGAAUUCUUUCGAAAGACAGAAGUGCCCUUCGGGGAACCCGGUGACAGGUGCUGCAUGGCUGUCGUCAGCUCGUGUCGUGAGAUGUUGGGUUAAGUCCCGCAACGAGCGCAACCCUUAUCUUUAGUUACCAUCAUUCAGUUGGGGACUCUAAAGACACUGCCCCGGUUAACGGGGAGGAAGGUGUGAUGACGUCAAGUCCUCAUGGCCUUUAUGUCCAGGGCUACACACGUGCUACAAUGGGCUGUACAGAGGGUCGUGACCCCGCGAGGGUGAGCCAAUCCCAAAAAGCAGUUCGUAGUUCGGAUUGGAGUCUGCAAUUCGACUCCAUGAAGCUGGAAUCGCUAGUAAUCGCGGAUCAGCAUGCCGCGGUGAAUCCGUUCCCGGGCCUUGUAC